UACGUAGGGUGCGAGCGUUGUCCGGAAUUACUGGGCGUAAAGAGCUCGUAGGUGGUUUGUCGCGUCUGCUGUGAAAAUCCGGGGCUCAACCCCGGACUUGCAGUGGGUACGGGCAGACUAGAGUGUGGUAGGGGAGACUGGAAUUCCUGGUGUAGCGGUGAAAUGCGCAGAUAUCAGGAGGAACACCGAUGGCGAAGGCAGGUCUCUGGGCCACUACUGACGCUGAGAAGCGAAAGCAUGGGGAGCGAACAGGAUUAGAUACCCCCGUA
rnacentral:rRNA from 1 species